GUGGGGAAUCUUGCGCAAUGGACGAAAGUCUGACGCAGCCACGCCGCGUGAGUGAAGAAGGCCUUCGGGUUGUAAAGCUCUGUCGAGCGGGACGAAAACCUGCCAGUGAAUAGCUGGUAGACUGACGGUACCGCUAAAGGAAGCACCGGCUAACUCUGUGCCAGCAGCCGCGGUAAUACAGAGGGUGCAAGCGUUGCUCGGAAUUAUUGGGCGUAAAGGGCAGGUAGGUGGUCUUAUUUGUCUGGGGUGAAAUCCUUGAGCUUAACUCAAGAAGUGCCUUAGAAACGGUAAGACUAGAGUACUGGAGAGGAUCGUGGAAUUCCCGGUGUAGCGGUGAAAUGCGUAGAGAUCGGGAGGAACACCAGCGGCGAAGGCGGCGAUCUGGACAGUGACUGACACUCAACUGCGAAAGCGUGGGGAGCAAACAGGAUUAGAUACCCUAGUAGUCC
rnacentral:rRNA from 1 species